rnacentral:rRNA from 1 species
GAGUUUGAUCCUGGCUCAGGACGAACGCUGGCGGCGUGCCUAAUGCAUGCAAGUCGAGCGACGCACAUCGGAGGGGUAACCCACCGAUAUGACGGAGCGGCGAACGGGUGAGUAACACGUGAGCAACCUGCCCCACAGAUCGGGAUAGCCCAGGGAAACCUGGAUUAAUACCGAAUACCCUCGAGUAACCACAUGAUUGUUCGAGGAAAUGCCUUUGUGCUGUGGGAUGGGCUCGCGGCUUAUCAGCUAGUUGGUGGGGUAACGGCCUACCAAGGCAUCGACGAGUAGCUGGUCUGAGAGGACGAUCAGCCACACUGGGACUGAGACACGGCCCAGACUCCUACGGGAGGCAGCAGCAGGGAAUCUUGCGCAAUGGGCGAAAGCCUGACGCAGCAACGCCGCGUGGGGGAUGAAGGCCUUCGGGUUGUAAACCCCUUUCAGGAGGGAAGAAAUUGACGUACCUCCAAAAGAA